UUGGCUUAAGAAGAAGGCAUUUAUUUAUUUUUCCAGUGAAUAUUUACAGAAUAUACACUACGUGUUAAUUAUCCUACACUGAACAAACAUAGAAGAAUCCCUGUUCUAUGGUGGAGCUUCUUUUAUCUCAGAAGGACUAAGGUUAGACAGUUGAAUAUGUAAACUACAUAGUAUCCUUGUGGAUAAGAUACGGUAAGGAGCAAAAAUAGAGUACAAUAGAAGAAAAUCAUGGACAUCUUAAAUGGGCUAAGGGUUUACAUUUUAAAUAUGAUGGCCAUGGUAGACCACAUUUAAAGGACAUUUGAGAAAAGACUUGAAUGAGGUAAGAGGAUUAGCAAUAUGAAAAUAAGGGGAAGGGUAGUCUAGGCAGAGGGAAUCCAGUGAGCCAGUUACUCUUCUGUUACAGACCCAGAGAGGUUAGUGGCGCCCAGUGGAGGUGGAUAGGAAGUCUGGAGGCGGUAGAGAG
rnacentral:lncRNA from 1 species